UACGGAGGAUGCAAGCGUUAUCCGGAAUGAUUGGGCGUAAAGCGUCCGCAGGUGGCAAUGUAAGUCUGCUGUUAAAGAGUCUAGCUCAACUAGAUAAAAGCAGUGGAAACUACAUAGCUAGAGUACGUUCGGGGCAGAGGGAAUUCCUGGUGUAGCGGUGAAAUGCGUAGAGAUCGGGAAGAACACCAGUGGCGAAGGCGCUCUGCUAGGCCGUAACUGACACUGAGGGACGAAAGCUAGGGGAGCGAAUGGG
rnacentral:rRNA from 1 species